rnacentral:rRNA from 1 species
UACGUAGGGUGCGAGCGUUGUCCGGAAUUAUUGGGCGUAAAGGGCUCGUAGGCGGUUUGUCGCGUCGGGAGUGAAAUCCACUGGCUUAACUGGUGGCUUGCUUUCGAUACGGGCAGACUGGAGGUAUGCAGGGGAGAACGGAAUUCCUGGUGUAGCGGUGAAAUGCGUAGAUAUCGUGAGGAAGACCAGUGGCGAAGGCGGGUCUCUGGACAGUUCCUGACGCUGAGGCGCGAAGGCCAGGGGAGCAAACGGG